GAAGUGUGCGCAGUCUGCUUGAUUCAUUCCCCUUACGGGUUUUCAAAAAUGUCGCCGAGUAUUGUCUUGUAGUUGUUAUAUUGGUAGCAAUUGGAGAUAUUCUUCGUUUAUUCGGCAUAAGUAUCUUAAAGUUAAUGUCUAGCAAGCAUGGAAUGGAACCAACGCUUGAAAAUGUUCCUAAAUUUACAUUGGGAUCACUUCGACAUAUCGGAAAAAAAUAUUAUCAAGAUAUUUUUAGAAGUGCGGUAAUCGGACUUAAGGCACCAAAUUCCACAGUUUAUUAUCAAAAAACCUUGGAAAAACGCAGAAUUUUAGAUUUCAGUAACCCAGGACGCCCUCUUGUUCUCGUAUUUGGAUCAUGUACCUGACCCCCAUUUCUGAAAGGGGUUGAGCGUCUCCCUACUCUUAUGGAGGAAUAUCGUUCAAAAGUUGAUUUUGUUGUGAUAUACACUCAAGAAGCACAUGCGACGGACAGUCAUUGGCAUUUAAAAGACAUGAAGCACCACAUUUUCCUUCAUAAAAGUCUUCAUGAUCGUCAGUCUGCCGCAGAAAUUCUUAAAGACUACUUUUCGUGCCCUUUGGUGUUGGAUGGAAUAGAAAAUGAAGCAACGAAGCAUUAUGGUACGGAUCCGGAUCGAAUGGCAAUCAUCUACAACGGUUGCUUAGAAUAUAUCAGUGCAAAAGGACCUUUUGGGUUUAAAGUAGAAGAAAUGCUAAUUGCUUUAAAUCACAUAUUACAACGAAGUGAAUAAGAAUUUUUAUACCACUCAAGUUAUCAGUAUGGCCUUCAAUGUUGCAGUACCAAUGGGGCAUUCGCUAUUAUAAUGCUCAAUACCAUGUUUGUAUAUAUAGCAAGUAAGCUACCCCCUUAUUUUCGAACUACCAGUAAAAGACAUUUCAAUAGGUAUAUCAUCUAGAAAUCUUUGAAGGCCAGCAACGUUAAACAAGGCUGUCCUUUUGUCAAAAUCAUCAUGUUUUUUUUGUUCCAAAGUUAUUUGUAUUAUUGAUUUUUUUUGCUAUAUUAUAAAAAAUGUUAUUUAAAAUAUCAAACAUGUAAAGAAUUCAUGAAGGUACAUAAGAAAAUUGCGGAAAGCAAUCUUUAGUACCAGAUGGUUUAUUUCUAUGCAUGCCAACUGUUUUUAUAACAUUUCCAAGUACAUAUACACAACUCUCCUAAUGUGCAUAUUAAUAAAAUCAUGUUUUAUUUUUUUGUUCCAAAGUUAUUUGUAUUUUUUAUUUCUUUGCUACAUUAUGAAAAAUGUUAUUUAAAAUAUCAAACAUGUAAAGAAUUUAUGAAGGUACAUAAGAAAAUUGCGGUAAGCAACCUUUAGUACCAGAUAGUUUAUUUCUAAGCAAGCUAACUGUUUUUAUAAC